rnacentral:rRNA from 1 species
AGAGUUUGAUCCUGGCUCAGGAUGAACGCUGGCGGCGUGCUUAACACAUGCAAGUCGAACGAACCUUCGGGUUAGUGGCGGACGGGUGAGUAACGCGUGAGAAUCUGCCCUCAGGAGGGGGAUAACGGCUGGAAACGGCCGCUAAUACCCCAUAUGCCGAGAGGUGAAAUGAAUUUCGCCUGAGGAUGAGCUCGCGUCUGAUUAGCUAGUUGGUAGGGUAAAGGCCUACCAAGGCUUCGAUCAGUAGCUGGUCUGAGAGGAUGAUCAGCCACACUGGGACUGAGACACGGCCCAGACUCCUACGGGAGGCAGCAGUGGGGAAUUUUCCGCAAUGGGCGAAAGCCUGACGGAGCAACGCCGCGUGAGGGAUGAAGGCCUCUGGGCUGUAAACCUCUUUUAUCAAGGAAGAAGAUCUGACGGUACUUGAUGAAUAAGCCACGGCUAAUUCCGUGCCAGCAGCCGCGGUAAUACGGGAGUGACAAGCGUUAUCCGGAAUUAUUGGGCGUAAAGCGUCCGCAGGCGGUCUUACAAGUCUGUCGUUAAAGCGUGGAGCUUAACUCCAUUUCAGCGAUGGAAACUGUAAGACUAGAGUGUGGUAGGGGCAGAGGGAAUUCCCGGUGUAGCGGUGAAAUGCGUAGAUAUCGGGAAGAACACCAGUGGCGAAGGCGCUCUGCUGGGCCAUAACUGACGCUCAUGGACGAAAGCCAGGGGAGCGAAAGGGAUUAGAUACCCCUGUAGUCCUGGCCGUAAACGAUGAACACUAGGUGUCGGGGGAAUCGAUCCCCUCGGUGUCGUAGCCAACGCGUUAAGUGUUCCGCCUGGGAAGUACGCACGCAAGUGUGAAACUCAAAGGAAUUGACGGGGGCCCGCACAAGCGGUGGAGUAUGUGGUUUAAUUCGAUGCAACGCGAAGAACCUUACCAGGGUUUGACAUCCUGCGAAUCCCUUGGAAACGAGGGAGUGCCUUCGGGAACGCAGUGACAGGUGGUGCAUGGCUGUCGUCAGCUCGUGUCGUGAGAUGUUGGGUUAAGUCCCGCAACGAGCGCAACCCACGUCUUUAGUUGCCAGCAUUUAGUUGGGCACUCUAGAGAGACUGCCGGUGAUAAACCGGAGGAAGGUGUGGAUGACGUCAAGUCAUCAUGCCCCUUACAUCCUGGGCUACACACGUACUACAAUGCUACGGACAAAGGGCAGCAAACUCGCGAGAGCUAGCAAAUCCCAUAAACCGUGGCUCAGUUCAGAUCGUAGGCUGCAACUCGCCUACGUGAAGGAGGAAUCGCUAGUAAUCGCAGGUCAGCAUACUGCGGUGAAUACGUUCCCGGGCCUUGUACACACCGCCCGUCACACCAUGGAAGUUGGUCACGCCCGAAGUCGUUACCCCAACCGAGAGGAGGGGGAUGCCUAAGGUAGGACUGAUGACUGGGGUGAAGUCGUAACAAGGUAGCCGUACCGGAAGGUGUGGCUGGAUCACCUCCUU